rnacentral:rRNA from 1 species
CCGGAUAAGCCCAUUUCCGCAUGGUUGGUGGGGAAAGUCCCCCGGACAGGGAUAACUCCCGGCCUAUCAGCUUGUUGGUGGGGUAAUGGCCUACCAAGGCGACGACGGGUACCCGCCUGAGAAGGGUGACCGCCCCCACUGGGACUGAGACACGGCCCAGACUCCUACGGGAGGCAGCAGUGGGGAAUAUUGGACAAUGGGCGAAAGCCUGAUCCAGCAACGCCGCGUGAGGGAUGACGGCCUUCGGGUUGUAAACCUCUUUCAGCAGGGACGAAGCGAAAGUGACGGUACCUGCAGAAGAAGGACCGGCCAACUACGUGCCAGCAGCCGCGGUAAUACGUAGGGUCCGAGCGUUGUCCGGAAUUAUUGGGCGUAAAGGGCUCGUAGGCGGUUUGUCACGUCGGGAGUGAAAACUCAGGGCUUAACCCUGAGCGUGCUUCCGAUACGGGCUGACUAGAGGGAUGCAGGGGAGAACGGAAUUCCUGGUGUAGCGGUGGAAUGCGCAGAUAUCAGGAGGAACACCGGUGGCGAAGGCGGUUCUCUGGGCAUUUCCUGACGCUGAGGAGCGAAAGCAUGGGGAGCGAACAGGAUUAGAUACCCUGGUAGUCCAUGCCGUAAACGUUGGGCGCUAGGUGUGGGGACCUUCCACGGUUUCCGUGCCGCAGCUAACGCAUUAAGCGCCCCGCCUGGGGAGUACGGCCGCAAGGCUAAAACUCAAAGGAAUUGACGGGGGCCCGCACAAGCGGCGGAGCAUGCUGAUUAAUUCGAUGCAACGCGAAGAACCUUACCUGGGUUUGACAUAUGCCGGAAAGCGCUAGAGAUAGUGCCCCUUUUAGUCGGUAUACAGGUGGUGCAUGGCUGUCGUCAGCUCGUGUCGUGAGAUGUUGGGUUAAGUCCCGCAACGAGCGCAACCCUCGUCCUAUGUUGCCAGCAUCAUGGUGGGGACUCAUAGGAGACUGCCGGGGUCAACUCGGAGGAAGGUGGGGAUGACGUCAAGUCAUCAUGCCCCUUAUGUCCAGGGCUUCAAGCAUGCUACAAUGGCCGGUACAAUGGGCUGCGAUACCGCAGGUGGAGCGAAUCCCAAAAAGCCGGUCUCAGUUCGGAUUGGGGUCUGCAACUCGACCCCAUGAAGUCGGAGUCGCUAGUAAUCGCAGAUCAGCACGCUGCGGUGAAUACGUUCCCGGGCCUUGUACACACCGCCCGUCAAGUGAUGAAAGUCGGCAACACCCGAAGCCGGUGGCCUAACCCUUGGGAGGGAGCCGUCGA